CUUACCUGGCAACUGUAGCAUCUGAUCAUGCUCCCAUCCUUCAGAAGGAGCUCUUACCUGAAUAUUGAACUCUGUCCACUUCCUUUUCCUGCCACAUCAGUUCCUGUCUUGUCAUUUCCUGUUACCAUGUAUUUAAGCCAUGUGUUUCCACUACCAUUUUGUGAAGUAUGCCAGUUCCUCUGCUUUACUUAUUGUUCUUCCAUGCCAUUUGUAUUGUUUAUAGUUAUGACCAUUGCUUUUGUUCUCCUGACUCCUGUUUCUGGAUGACUGUUUUGGAUUUGUCUGCAAUUGGCUUGUUUUCUCCAUAUUUUAACUCAAGCCAGUGACCUGACUUGGAGCUAUGAUUGUUAUUAGUACUUGGAGCACAGAUCAUUGGGCAGCUGUGGCCUAAUGGUUAGAGAGCCGGACUAGUUACCAGAAGGUCGCCGGUUUGAGUCUCGGUGCUGGCAGGAGUUGUAAGUGGGAGGGAGUUAAUGAACAGCGCUCUCUUCCACCCUCAAUACCCAUGGCUGAAGUGCCCUUGAGCAAGGCACUGAACCCCCAGUUGCUCCCCGGUGCUGGAUCUAUAGCUGCCCACUGCUCCGGGUGUGUGUUCACAGUGUGUUCACUUCUCACUGCUGUGUGUGUGCACUUAGAUGGGUUAAAUGCAGAGCAUCAAUUCUGAGUAUGGGUAACCAUACUUGGCAAAUGUCAUGACUUUCACUUUUUUUUUCUUCAUUGAAUAAAGACCCGCAUAUGGAAUUUAUUAGGCCUACCUAUUUCUCACAUUCUUUUAAACAUUUCCUUGUUUGUACAUUCUGUACUCAUUAAAGUCUGAUAAGAUUGUUUAGAUGUUAUAAUUUUGACUGAUAGCUUGAUGAUUUUCACAGCGUUAAGACAGGAAGUGGAAACACGUUGUGGUUUAAUGUCUCUGCACUGAAAGGCAAUCUGCAGUUUGAUCGAUGCUUUUACAGACGAAAGACAAUGGAGAAGAUCAUGCUCUUUUGUGUUUUUUCAUACAGGAUUAUUCAGAUCAGCUCCAGCGAACAUGAUGUGACUCUGUUAAGAUUCCGGCUGACCGAAAGCAUCAGUCUGAACUGCAACAUGACAGACAAAUUCAGAAUGGCCUGGUAUCACCAGAAUCCUGAUUCUGGACGACUAACACUGCUGCUGUCUGCCAAGAUCUGGUCAUCACUGCACAUUGAAUACUCUCAAAACAGUCGCAUGAGAGUUUAUGGGGAUAGGAUGAGCAUCUCACUAAAUAUUAUUGGACUAAUGGAGUCAGAUUCAGGUCUUUAUUACUGUGGAACAGGACAUACAUUUAAUUCAGUCAUGUACUUUGACAAACCCAUCAGACUAGUGAUGGAGGAGAAGUUGACAGACAGAGAAGACAAAGUUCAUUCCAUCACAGAUCUGUCAGAGGAUGAUGAGAUCAGAGAUGCUUCAGAACAUAAUGUGACUCUGUUAAGAUUCCAGCUAAAUGAAACCCUCACUCUGAACUGCAACAUGACCGACAAAGCUGAAAUGACCUGGUAUCACCAGAAUCCUGAAUCUGGACGACUUACAAUGCUGAUAUUUGCCAUAUGGCCAUUACGGCUCUCUGUGUCAGGGAUCUGGCAAGCCCGGUUUCAACCAAUCCACAACGCUCACAGUCCCCUGAGUACUAACCAGUCACACCUGCCCCGCAUCAAGGAUCCAAUCAAGGCACUAUAAAACACUCACCAAUACAUCAGUUCUCCGUCAAGCCUCCAACAGGAACAGUCUCCUCACACUUGCCUUCUGAGUUCCUGACACUUCACUGUUAUCCAGACGUAACGUAUACUUACCCUUGUGUUACACUAACCUGUGUCCUUGUUCUGCUGCCCACAGGACCACGGAUCACCGAAUUGUUACCUGUGAUUCGGCGGUCUCUGUAGUCUCCUGUGUAUAUUCCGAGCUAGUACUGUCUUCGGCAUCUGUUAAGGAAGAGAACAUACGUGAGCGAUCUGUGACUGUGGCUUUGACACUCCUGAAUCAAACGUGCUCACCUGUCUACUAUCCCAUCCCCUGUGUUUAUCAUACUGCCCGCACUUGAAGACACGAAGCACUCACCGAGCACUUGAAGACGAAGUAUUCAACGAGGACUUGUAUAUUCAAAUAAAAACACUGUUCUGAAUUCA
ensembl:lncRNA